GGGAUUGCCCUAGUAACGGCGAGUGAAGCGGCAACAGCUCAAAUUUGAAAUCUGGCUCUUUCAGAGUCCGAGUUGUAAUUUGCAGAGGGUGCUUUGGUGGUAGUUGCGGUCUAAGUUCUUUGGAACAGGACGUCACAGAGGGUGAGAAUCCCGUAUGUGGUCGCUACUUAUCACCGUGUAAAGCCCCUUCGACGAGUCGAGUUGUUUGGGAAUGCAGCUCUAAAUGGGAGGUAAAUUUCUUCUAAAGCUAAAUACUGGCCAGAGACCGAUAGCGCACAAGUAGAGUGAUCGAAAGAUGAAAAGCACUUUGGAAAGAGAGUCAAAUAGCACGUGAAAUUGUUGAAAGGGAAGCGCUUGCAGCCAGACUUGCCUGUAGUUGCUUACCUAGACUUUUGUCUGGGGUACUCUUCUGCAGGCAGGCCAGCAUCAGUUUGGGCGGUUGGAUAAAGGUCUCUGUCACGUACCUCCUUUCGGGGAGGCCUUAUAGGGGAGACGUCAUACAACCAGCCUGGACUGAGGUCCGCGCAUCUGCUAGGAUGCUGGCGUAAUGGCUGUAAGCGGCCCGUCUUGAAACACGGACCAAGGAGUCUAACAUCUAUGCGAGUGUUUGGGUGUCAAGCCCAUACGCGUAAUGAAAGUGAACGGAGGUGGGAACCUUAGGGUGCACCAUCGACCGAUCCUGAUGUCUUCGGAUGGAUUUGAGUAAGAGCAUGGCUGUUGGGACCCGAAAGAUGGUGAACUAUGCUUGAAUAGGGUGAAGCCAGAGGAAACUCUGGUGGAGGCUCGCAGCGGUUCUGACGUGCAAAUCGAUCGUCAAAUUUGGGCAUAGGGGCG
rnacentral:rRNA from 1 species